rnacentral:tRNA from 1 species
ACCCGGGUGGCUCAGUUGGAAGAGCCUGUGACUCUUGAUCUCAGGGUUGUGAGUUCAAGCCCCAUGUUGGGUG